UGCAGUCGAGCGCGCCUUUGGGUGAGCGGCGGACGGGUUAGUAACGCGUGGGACCGUUCCCUUCUCUACGGAAUAGCCUCUGGAAACGGAGAGUAAUACCGUAUACGCCCUUUGGGGGAAAGAUUUAUCGGAGAAGGAUCGGCCCGCGUUAGAUUAGGUAGUUGGUGGGGUAACGGCCUACCAAGCCUACGAUCUAUAGCUGGUUUUAGAGGAUGAUCAGCAACACUGGGACUGAGACACGGCCCAGACUCCUACGGGAGGCAGCAGUGGGGAAUCUUAGACAAUGGGGGCAACCCUGAUCUAGCCAUGCCGCGUGAGUGAUGAAGGCCUUAGGGUCGUAAAGCUCUUUCGCCUGUGAUGAUAAUGACAGUAGCAGGUAAAGAAACCCCGGCUAACUCCGUGCCAGCAGCCGCGGUAAUACGGAGGGGGUUAGCGUUGUUCGGAAUUACUGGGCGUAAAGCGCGCGUAGGCGGAUUAGAAAGUUGGGGGUGAAAUCCCGGGGCUCAACCCCGGAACUGCCUCCAAAACUGCUAGUCUAGAGUUCGAGAGAGGUGAGUGGAAUUCCGAGUGUAGAGGUGAAAUUCGUAGAUAUUCGGAGGAACACCAGUGGCGAAGGCGGCUCACUGGCUCGAUACUGACGCUGAGGUGCGAAAGUGUGGGGAGCAAACAGGAUUAGAUACCCCGGUAGUCCACACCGUANACGAUGAAUGCCAGUCGUCGGAUAGUAUACUAUUCGGUGACACACCUAACGGAUUAAGCAUUCCGCCUGGGGAGUACGGUCGCAAGAUUAAAACUCAAAGAAUUGACGGGGGCCCGCACA
rnacentral:rRNA from 1 species